GAGUUUGAUCCUGGCUCAGAUUGAACGCUGGCGGCAUGCUUUACACAUGCAAGUCGAACGGCAGCGCGGGGGCAACCCUGGCGGCGAGUGGCGAACGGGUGAGUAAUGCAUCGGAACGUAUCCUGUAAUGGGGGAUAACGUAGCGAAAGUUACGCUAAUACCGCAUACGCUCGAGAGAGGAAAGUGGGGGAUCGCAAGACCUCACGUUAUAGGAGCGGCCGAUGUCCGAUUAGCUAGUUGGUGGGGUAAAGGCCUACCAAGGCGACGAUCGGUAGCUGGUCUGAGAGGAUGAUCAGCCACACUGGGACUGAGACACGGCCCAGACUCCUACGGGAGGCAGCAGUGGGGAAUUUUGGACAAUGGGCGAAAGCCUGAUCCAGCCAUGCCGCGUGCGGGAAGAAGGCCUUCGGGUUGUAAACCGCUUUAGUCCGGGAAAAAGGGGUGCGAGGAUAAUACCCUCGUGCUUUGAUGGUACUGGAAGAAUAAGCACCGGCUAACUACGUG
rnacentral:rRNA from 1 species